UGGGGAAUAUUGCACAAUGGGCGCAAGCCUGAUGCAGCGACGCCGCGUGAGGGAUGACGGCCUUCGGGUUGUAAACCUCUUUCAGCAGGGACGAAGCGCGAGUGACGGUACCUGCAGAAGAAGCACCGGCCAACUACGUGCCAGCAGCCGCGGUAAUACGUAGGGUGCGAGCGUUGUCCGGAAUUACUGGGCGUAAAGAGCUCGUAGGCGGUUUGUCGCGUCGUCUGUGAAAUUCUGCAGCUUAACUGCAGGCGUGCAGGCGAUACGGGCAGACUUGAGUACUACAGGGGAGACUGGAAUUCCUGGUGUAGCGGUGAAAUGCGCAGAUAUCAGGAGGAACACCGGUGGCGAAGGCGGGUCUCUGGGUAGUAACUGACGCUGAGGAGCGAAAGCGUGGGUAGCGAACAGGAUUAGAUACCCUGGUAGUCCACGCCGUAAACGGUGGGUACUAGGUGUGGGUUCCAUUUCACGGGAUCCGUGCCGUAGCUAACGCAUUAAGUACCCCGCCUGGGGAGUACGGCCGCAAGGCUAAAACUCAAAUGAAUUGACGGGGUCAUAGCUGUUUCCU
rnacentral:rRNA from 1 species